UACGUAGGGGGCAAGCGUUGUCCGGAUUUAUUGGGCGUAAAGAGCGUGUAGGCGGCCAGGUAGGUCCGUUGUGAAAACUCGAGGCUCAACCUCGAGACGUCGAUGGAAACCAUUUGGCUAGAGUCCGGAAGAGGAGUGUGGAAUUCCUGGUGUAGCGGUGAAAUGCGCAGAUAUCAGGAAGAACACCAAUGGCGAAGGCAGCUCUCUGGGACGGUACUGACGCUGAGACGCGAAAGCGUGGGGAGCGAACAGG
rnacentral:rRNA from 1 species